GACGAACGCUGGCGGCGUGCUUAACACAUGCAAGUCGAACGGAAAGGCCCUUCGGGGUACUCGAGUGGCGAACGGGUGAGUAACACGUGGGUGAUCUGCCCUGCACUUUGGGAUAAGCCUGGGAAACUGGGUCUAAUACCGAAUAGGACCACGCGCUUCAUGGUGUGUGGUGGAAAGCUUUUGCGGUGUGGGAUGGGCCCGCGGCCUAUCAGCUUGUUGGUGGGGUAAUGGCCUACCAAGGCGACGACGGGUAGCCGGCCUGAGAGGGUGACCGGCCACACUGGGAAGGAGAGACGGCCCAGCAGCCUCCGGGGGGCAGGAGGGGGGAAUAUGGCCAAAGGGGCGAAAGCCUGAAGCAGCGACGCGGGGGGGGGGAGGACGGCCUUCGGGUUGUAAACCCCUUUCAAAAGGGACGAAGCGCAAGGGAGGGGACCUAAAGAAGAAGCACCGGCCAAUUAAGU
rnacentral:rRNA from 1 species